rnacentral:rRNA from 1 species
GAGCGGAUGAAGAGAGCUUGCUCUCGGAUUCAGCGGCGGACGGGUGAGUAAUGCCUAGGAAUCUGCCUGGUAGUGGGGGACAACGUUUCGAAAGGAACGCUAAUACCGCAUACGUCCUACGGGAGAAAGCAGGGGACCUUCGGGCCUUGCGCUAUCAGAUGAGCCUAGGUCGGAUUAGCUAGUUGGUGAGGUAAUGGCUCACCAAGGCGACGAUCCGUAACUGGUCUGAGAGGAUGAUCAGUCACACUGGAACUGAGACACGGUCCAGACUCCUACGGGAGGCAGCAGUGGGGAAUAUUGGACAAUGGGCGAAAGCCUGAUCCAGCCAUGCCGCGUGUGUGAAGAAGGUCUUCGGAUUGUAAAGCACUUUAAGUUGGGAGGAAGGGUUGUAGAUUAAUACUCUGCAAUUUUGACGUUACCGACAGAAUAAGCACCGGCUAACUCUGUG